rnacentral:rRNA from 1 species
UACAGAGGGUGCGAGCGUUAAUCGGAAUUACUGGGCGUAAAGCGUGCGUAGACGGUUGUGUAAGUCGGAUGUGAAAGCCCCGGGCUCAACCUGGGAAUUGCAUUCGAGACUGCAUAGCUAGGAUGCGGAAGAGGGAAGUGGAAUUUCCGGUGUAGCGGUGAAAUGCGUAGAUAUCGGAAGGAACAUCAGUGGCGAAAGCGACUUCCUGGUCCAGCAUCGACGUUCAGGCACGAAAGCGUGGGGAGCAAACAGG